CUUAAAAACAGAACAACACGAAUUUUAGUCAAAUUUCGAAUAUUAUACAGGCAGCGUGGAUUCAUAAAGGUGGACGAGGAGCAGGACGGCAUGCUGGUUCUAUUCAUUAUAGAAUGGAAACCCUUGCAAAAAGAUCCUGUAGUCAAGUGUUCUACCGAUCAAGACACGAUGAAGCGACUCCAUCUUCUUCAAAAAUAAUAACGAACGACGAACGUGGAGAAAAUAUUGAUGAGUUGGUGUACGAGUUAGAAACUAUUGUUCCCUUGGAAAAUUCUAUGGAAAACAUAAAAUAUUUAUGGAAACAAACACUGGCUUACCGGCACGAAAAGCGUUUUUUCCCAUUUUUUCCCAUUUUAUGACCGACUGUUCUGCGGCUUCAGCCUUCGGAGGAGAAUUGAUAUCUUUAGAAUUCGAAUUGAUGAAUCCUACUGCUGCUAAAUUCGAAGACAUGUGGAAUGUAAUCCAACAGAAAAUAUUGGAAAAAUAUCUAAUAGAUU